rnacentral:rRNA from 1 species
UUGUCUCUUAAUUGGGGGCCGGAAUGAAAGAGUUGUCANUACUUUAGCUUUUCUUACRAUUUUAAAAGAAAUUGAUAUUCAUGUCAAAAAGCAUGACUUUUUAGAAAGACGAGAAGACCCUAURAAGCUUUAUUAAAUUUUUUAAUAGUUAAAUUUAGAAAUUUAUAAUUAAAUUUUAAUUCAGCUGGGGCGGCAUCUAAAUAAACAUAAGAAGAUUUAACAUUAUUUAUGGUUUUAAAAAGCUUAAAAUAAAAAAUAAAAUAAGCUACUUUAGGGAUAACAGCAUAAUUUUUUCGUAUAGAUCUUAUAGAAGAAAAAGAGUUGUGACCUCGAUGUUGAAUUGAAGAGCCUUAUUUAAGCNAGAAUAAAUGAAGGAAGUCUGUUCGACUUUUUAUUCUUCA